rnacentral:rRNA from 1 species
AUACGUAGGGUGCGAGCGUUGUCCGGAAUUACUGGGCGUAAAGAGCUCGUAGGUGGUUUGUCGCGUCGUCUGUGAAAUUCCGGGGCUUAACUCCGGGCGUGCAGGCGAUACGGGCAUAACUUGAGUACUGUAGGGGAGACUGGAAUUCCUGGUGUAGCGGUGAAAUGCGCAGAUAUCAGGAGGAACACCGGUGGCGAAGGCGGGUCUCUGGGCAGUAACUGACGCUGAGGAGCGAAAGCAUGGGUAGCGAACAGGAUUAGAUCCCCUGGUAGUCCAGGCCGUAAACGGUGGGCGCUAGGUGUAGGGGUCUUCCACGACUUCUGUGCCGUAGCUAACGCAUUAAGCGCCCCGCCUGGGGAGUACGGCCGCCAGGCUAAAACUCAAAUGAAUUGACGGGG